rnacentral:rRNA from 1 species
CCUACGGGAGGCUGCAGUAGGGAAUCUUCCACAAUGGGCGAAAGCCUGAUGGAGCAACGCCGCGUGGGUGAAGAAGGUCUUCGGAUCGUAAAACCCUGUUGUUAGAGAAGAAAGUGCGUGAGAGUAACUGUUCACGUUUCGACGGUAUCUAACCAGAAAGCCACGGCUAACUACGUGCCAGCAGCCGCGGUAAUACGUAGGUGGCAAGCGUUAUCCGGAUUUAUUGGGCGUAAAGGGAACGCAGGCGGUCUUUUAAGUCUGAUGUGAAAGCCUUCGGCUUAACCGGAGUAGUGCAUUGGAAACUGGGAGACUGGAGUGCAGAAGAGGAGAGUGGAACUCCAGGUGUAGCGGUGAAAUGCGUAGAUAUAUGGAAGAACACCAGUGGCGAAAGCGGCUCUCUGGUCUGUAACUGACGCUGAGGUUCGAAAGCGUGGGUAGCAAACAGGAUUAGAUACCCCAGUAGUC